rnacentral:rRNA from 1 species
AUUGAACGCUGGCGGCAUGCCUUACACAUGCAAGUCGAACGGCAGCACGGGUGCUUGCACCUGGUGGCGAGUGGCGAACGGGUGAGUAAUACAUCGGAACGUACCUUAUCGUGGGGGAUAACGCAGCGGAAGCUGUGCUAAUACCGAAUACGCCCUGAGGGGGAAAGCGGGGGAUCGAAAGACCUCGCGCGAUUAGAGCGGCCGAUGCCUGAUUAGCUUGUUGGUGGGGUAAAAGCCCACCAAGGCGACGAUCAGUAGCUGGUCUGAGAGGACGAUCAGCCACACUGGGACUGAGACACGGCCCAGACUCCUACGGGAGGCAGCAGUGGGGAAUUUUGGACAAUGGGGGCAACCCUGAUCCAGCAAUGCCGCGUGAGUGAAGAAGGCCUUCGGGUUGUAAAGCUCUUUUGUCAGGGAAGAAACACCGGCUCUAACACAGUCCGGGAAUGACGGUACCUGAAGAAUAAGCACCGGCUAACUACGUGCCAGCCGCCGCAGUAA